UGGGGAAUUUUGCGCAAUGGGGGAAACCCUGACGCAGCAACGCCGCGUGGAGGAUGAAGUCCUUCGGGACGUAAACUCCUUUCGAUCGGGACGAUUAUGACGGUACCGGAAGAAGAAGCCCCGGCUAACUUCGUGCCAGCAGCCGCGGUAAUACGAAGGGGGCUAGCGUUGCUCGGAAUUACUGGGCGUAAAGCGCACGUAGGCGGUCUUUUAAGUCGGGGGUGAAAUCCUGGAGCUCAACUCCAGAACUGCCUUCGAUACUGGAAGACUUGAGUCCGGGAGAGGUGAGUGGAACUGCGAGUGUAGAGGUGAAAUUCGUAGAUAUUCGCAAGAACACCAGUGGCGAAGGCGGCUCACUGGCCCGGUACUGACGCUGAGGUGCGAAAGCGUGGGGAGCAAAC
rnacentral:rRNA from 1 species